rnacentral:lncRNA from 1 species
GGUGUUUCCACAAACAAAAUAUUAUAAUUUUUUUAUUAUUAAUCAGUGUUGUGACGAGUCACCACCAAAGGUCGCGUUUGACGAAACUCUGUCAUGGAAUGCCCAAGUCGACCAAAUUACAAGAAUGGUUAAUUCAGGCCUCAGUAUCCAAAAAAAGAUUGCGAGAUAUGGUAGAUUACCGAACGUUAAUUACAAUAUAUUUAUCACUAAUCCAUCCUCACUUUGACUACUGUUCACAUGUUUGGGGCUGUCUGGGGAAAGGAUUCUCAGAUAGACUCCAGAAGCUUCAAAACAGAGCAUUUCGCAUAAUAACCCAUGAUAAUGAUGAAACACGUUCAGCAGACAUUUUGAACAAGGUCGGUCUUCCUAAUCUACGAACUGGAAGGAGACAUCAAU